UUUUACCGCAAAAAGUAAGGAUAUUGUUGGCUCUCUUAUUCAACGCAUUUCUUGCUUUACAAAACGAGCUUCAAAAUUGGCGGUUUGAGGACUUUCUAAACUAAUAACCCUCGGGCGAUAUUUCACGUUGAAAAUACGACGAUUUAAACAACGUGUCGUUCAGUUGCACAUGUUGACUGCAUAUGGUUGGAUUAUGUGGAAGCUUAACCUGUUGGUUACGUUGCUGGUGCUACUGCUGGUACAACGUGGAACGGCAGAAGAUGAAAAA